GGUGGUAUAGUUCAGUGGUGGAGCACACGCUUAGCAUGCAUCAGGUCCUGGGUUCAAUCCUCAGCACCUCCA
rnacentral:tRNA from 1 species